ACUACGGAGGCAGCAGUGAGGAAUAUUGGUCAAUGGACGGAAGUCUGAACCAGCCAUGCCGCGUGCAGGAAGACGGCUCUAUGAGUUGUAAACUGCUUUUGUACAAGGGUAAACCUGAAUACGUGUAUUCAGCUGAAAGUACUGUACGAAUAAGGAUCAGCUAACUCCGUGCCAGCAGCCGCGGUAAUAAGGAGGAUCCAAGCGUUAUCCGGCUGUAUUGGGUUUAAAGGGUGCGUAGGAGGAUUGAUAAGUUAUAGGUGAAAUGUCCGGGCUUAACUCGGGCACUGCCUCUAUUAGUGUUGAUCGAGAGAGUAGAUGCGGUAGGCGGAAUGUAUGGUGUAGCGGUGAAAUGCUUAGAGAUCAUACAGAACACCGAUUGCGAAGGUAGCUUACCAAUCUAUAUCUGACGUUGAGGCACGAAAGCGUGGGGAGCAAACAGGAUUAGAUACCCUUGUAGUC
rnacentral:rRNA from 1 species